rnacentral:rRNA from 1 species
GGUUAAGCGACUAAGCGUACACGGUGGAUGCCCUGGCAGUCAGAGGCGAUGAAGGACGUGCUAAUCUGCGAUAAGCGUCGGUAAGGUGAUAUGAACCGUUAUAACCGGCGAUUUCCGAAUGGGGAAACCCAGUGUGUUUCGACACACUAUCAUUAACUGAAUCCAUAGGUUAAUGAGGCGAACCGGGGGAACUGAAACAUCUAAGUACCCCGAGGAAAAGAAAUCAACCGAGAUUCCCCCAGUAGCGGCGAGCGAACGGGGAGCAGCCCAGAGCCUGAAUCAGUGUGUGUGUUAGUGGAAGCGUCUGGAAAGGCGCGCGAUACAGGGUGACAGCCCCGUACACAAAAAUGCACAUGCUGUGAGCUCGAUGAGUAGGGCGGGACACGUGGUAUCCUGUCUGAAUAUGGGGGGACCAUCCUCCAAGGCUAAAUACUCCUGACUGACCGAUAGUGAACCAGUACCGUGAGGGAAAGGCGAAAAGAACCCCGGCGAGGGGAGUGAAAAAGAACCUGAAACCGUGUACGUACAAGCAGUGGGAGCACGCUUAGGCGUGUGACUGCGUACCUUUUGUAUAAUGGGUCAGCGACUUAUAUUCUGUAGCAAGGUUAACCGAAUAGGGGAGCCGAAGGGAAACCGAGUCUUAACUGGGCGUUAAGUUGCAGGGUAUAGACCCGAAACCCGGUGAUCUAGCCAUGGGCAGGUUGAAGGUUGGGUAACACUAACUGGAGGACCGAACCGACUAAUGUUGAAAAAUUAGCGGAUGACUUGUGGCUGGGGGUGAAAGGCCAAUCAAACCGGGAGAUAGCUGGUUCUCCCCGAAAGCUAUUUAGGUAGCGCCUCGUGAAUUCAUCUCCGGGGGUAGAGCACUGUUUCGGCAAGGGGGUCAUCCCGACUUACCAACCCGAUGCAAACUGCGAAUACCGGAGAAUGUUAUCACGGGAGACACACGGCGGGUGCUAACGUCCGUCGUGAAGAGGGAAACAACCCAGACCGCCAGCUAAGGUCCCAAAGUCAUGGUUAAGUGGGAAACGAUGUGGGAAGGCCCAGACAGCCAGGAUGUUGGCUUAGAAGCAGCCAUCAUUUAAAGAAAGCGUAAUAGCUCACUGGUCGAGUCGGCCUGCGCGGAAGAUGUAACGGGGCUAAACCAUGCACCGAAGCUGCGGCAGCGACGCUUAUGCGUUGUUGGGUAGGGGAGCGUUCUGUAAGCCUGUGAAGGUGUGCUGUGAGGCAUGCUGGAGGUAUCAGAAGUGCGAAUGCUGACAUAAGUAACGAUAAAGCGGGUGAAAAGCCCGCUCGCCGGAAGACCAAGGGUUCCUGUCCAACGUUAAUCGGGGCAGGGUGAGUCGACCCCUAAGGCGAGGCCGAAAGGCGUAGUCGAUGGGAAACAGGUUAAUAUUCCUGUACUUGGUGUUACUGCGAAGGGGGGACGGAGAAGGCUAUGUUGGCCGGGCGACGGUUGUCCCGGUUUAAGCGUGUAGGCUGGUUUUCCAGGCAAAUCCGGAAAAUCAAGGCUGAGGCGUGAUGACGAGGCACUACGGUGCUGAAGCAACAAAUGCCCUGCUUCCAGGAAAAGCCUCUAAGCAUCAGGUAACAUCAAAUCGUACCCCAAACCGACACAGGUGGUCAGGUAGAGAAUACCAAGGCGCUUGAGAGAACUCGGGUGAAGGAACUAGGCAAAAUGGUGCCGUAACUUCGGGAGAAGGCACGCUGAUAUGUAGGUGAAGUCCCUCGCGGAUGGAGCUGAAAUCAGUCGAAGAUACCAGCUGGCUGCAACUGUUUAUUAAAAACACAGCACUGUGCAAACACGAAAGUGGACGUAUACGGUGUGACGCCUGCCCGGUGCCGGAAGGUUAAUUGAUGGGGUCAGCGCAAGCGAAGCUCUUGAUCGAAGCCCCGGUAAACGGCGGCCGUAACUAUAACGGUCCUAAGGUAGCGAAAUUCCUUGUCGGGUAAGUUCCGACCUGCACGAAUGGCGUAAUGAUGGCCAGGCUGUCUCCACCCGAGACUCAGUGAAAUUGAACUCGCUGUGAAGAUGCAGUGUACCCGCGGCAAGACGGAAAGACCCCGUGAACCUUUACUAUAGCUUGACACUGAACAUUGAGCCUUGAUGUGUAGGAUAGGUGGGAGGCUUUGAAGUGUGGACGCCAGUCUGCAUGGAGCCGACCUUGAAAUACCACCCUUUAAUGUUUGAUGUUCUAACGUUGACCCGUAAUCCGGGUUGCGGACAGUGUCUGGUGGGUAGUUUGACUGGGGCGGUCUCCUCCUAAAGAGUAACGGAGGAGCACGAAGGUUGGCUAAUCCUGGUCGGACAUCAGGAGGUUAGUGCAAUGGCAUAAGCCAGCUUGACUGCGAGCGUGACGGCGCGAGCAGGUGCGAAAGCAGGUCAUAGUGAUCCGGUGGUUCUGAAUGGAAGGGCCAUCGCUCAACGGAUAAAAGGUACUCCGGGGAUAACAGGCUGAUACCGCCCAAGAGUUCAUAUCGACGGCGGUGUUUGGCACCUCGAUGUCGGCUCAUCACAUCCUGGGGCUGAAGUAGGUCCCAAGGGUAUGGCUGUUCGCCAUUUAAAGUGGUACGCGAGCUGGGUUUAGAACGUCGUGAGACAGUUCGGUCCCUAUCUGCCGUGGGCGCUGGAGAACUGAGGGGGGCUGCUCCUAGUACGAGAGGACCGGAGUGGACGCAUCACUGGUGUUCGGGUUGUCAUGCCAAUGGCACUGCCCGGUAGCUAAAUGCGGAAGAGAUAAGUGCUGAAAGCAUCUAAGCACGAAACUUGCCCCGAGAUGAGUUCUCCCUGACCCUUUAAGGGUCCUGAAGGAACGUUGAAGACGACGACGUUGAUAGGCCGGGUGUGUAAGCGCAGCGAUGCGUUGAGCUAACCGGUACUAAUGAACCGUGAGGCUUAACCUU